CUGACGUUAGCGCCACGGAGGUCCUCGGGGGUCCACGAAUGCCGUACUGCUAUCGCAGAAGGUUCCGACGAUGUUAAACUCUUGUUAAGUCUUGCCUCAGGUCGCACCGUGAGAUCGCCCUUUAAGGGGUAAGCGGUAGGAGCAUAAUUACAUUAUAUGUUACGGACGUGCAGCAUAUAAUACAAUAAUAUUAAAGUUCUGAUCUUGAAAAUAUCACAUUUUUGAAUUUUCUAGGCAGUCUGGGUGUUUAUUGCUAUUUCCGUCACAAUGGUCAAUUUUGUAAUUAGCUACAAUUAGGUAAGUAAUUAUAUGCUUUAAUUUCAGGUCAUCCAAGUAACGAGUGUCGUCGCAUGCAACACUACACCAGGACUUCCAUGAGCAAUGACAGCAAAAUGCAAAAUGCAACUGCAAAAUGUGAUUAGCAUGAUGCUGCCUAAUCAAGUCGCCAAGGUAAAUCAAGUCAAGUGACCAGUGGCCGUUGCAAUUUCAUUAUAUUGAGCAACCCCUGGUUAUUCAGAAUAUAAAUGCAGAGCAAAUAGAAGACACCAAGAAAAAACAACUGGAUCAGAAAGGCAAGGCUCGAGAAGACUGGAACUCCGACAAUGAACUACAGAGUUAGUGCUACACUCCUGCUGCUGCUUGGAAUUUGUGCAGCUUUGUCUAUGGCGGCUCAUAAAAAUAUCAAUUUAGGAUCACGAUGUAGGUGCAGUGCGUUUCAAACAAAUCGCAUGUCCGUGGAUAAGAUUCAUAAAAUUGAAAUAUUCACCGUGAGCAGAAAGUGCAAUUACGUGGAAAUCAUAGCUCACUACACAAUUUCACCACAUCAGCCGAAGACAAUUUGUUUGAGUGGGAAGGCUGCCUGGGUGGAGACAUUUAUUAGUGACUUACUGACCAAAACUGCAAAGUAGGAUACAUUUUGAAGGGCUUCAUUGCCACAAUGGUAUCCUGAGGUGAUGAAACAGGUUUUAUACCUACAAAUGUUUUUUUGGUGAAGUGAUUUGAAUUCUAAAUAAAAAGGAUUGUAUCUCUGAUAUGAUUUAAGCAUCAAAUACAUGGCAUUCUAAAAUGUAUUUGUCUGUUCCUAAAUAUAAUGCCAAAUCUUCUAUCUCUUCGCUAUAAGGGAAAGUCUCCAAUAUUAAAUCAUAGAAUGAGGUUCACAGCAGAUCAUUCUGCACAAAUGUCUUUGCUGGUUAUGUAUAAGUGAUAUUCAAGUAUUCUCACCUCUAGCUCUUCAACUCCCAACCACCACCAAAACUCUGCCACCAUUUCAGGUAUUUUGAAAGCCAUGCAAAUUUCUCUGCUUUGAAAGUUUUUCCAACGAAUUCUUUAUUGAAAGUUACCAUCAAAUUUGCUUCCAUUGCCUUUUCAGAGAGAAACUCCAGAUUAACAGCUCUUUUCCUUGUGUUUCUUUUGCAAAUGUCUCCACAUCCGUGCCCUCUAGUCAAUGAUGCUUUAGCCACGAGCAACACUUUCAUCGUCCUUCCUCCAUUUUAUAUUUCAUGAUAUACUGGAUAUUGGAUAUACAGUAUGCUUCAAAUCUCACCUUCACUCCACCUCUGCCCUGUUAAAUAAACCAAGCUUUUCUCAAUAAAAUAGAGAUUCCAAAAACAUGGCUUCAUUCUUGUAGAUCAGCUUUGUGGGACUUUGAUUUUGGACGUAAUUUGGUGCCAAGAACUGGAAGGAUUACAUCAGCUAGAAACCUAUGAAAGGUUUAUCUUAGUUCCUCGCUAUUUUUUAAUUCUAUGAUGAGAUGGACAAUGCGCAGAAUCCCUGUUUCCUUUUUUAAUGGCAGUCAUUGGCACAUCAGGAUGGAGGUGAUUGAGCUUUCCUGAUCUGAUGACAUUGUAAAUCCAGGGGCACGGUACUACACCCGACUCUGUUUUUCCAGACACAUCUUUCCAGCCACUGCUCCAUUCUUUUCAGGGUCUCUAUUACUUUGUCAUUCACCUUUUCUCUGUCGGUAACACAAGGAACAUUAAAUUAAAGUAACCAGAGUAAUGUGGACGAACGUACUUCAUAUUAUUUUAAGCUAUAAGCAGCAUGGCACAGCAAGAAACGUGCCUGUCAAGAGCUUGCUAUAUUAUAUGUAUGAAAAACUGUGUGCGUGCAAGUUUUGUUAAUAAACUGCUUUGA